UCUUAUCCCGAGCUGGUGGAGGGACAGGCCCAAUGAAACCCAGCAACCUGCAACGAUGAAAGUGACAAUUCUUUGCAACGGUGCUAACCUGAUGCAAGGCAUGACCUUGAACGAUAAGA
rnacentral:ncRNA from 1 species